rnacentral:rRNA from 1 species
CAGCAGCCGCGGUAAUGCGGAGGGCGCGAGCGUUGUCCGGAUUCACUGGGCGUAAAGCGUGCGCAGGCGGUUUUGUAAGACAGGCGUGAAAUCCCCGGGCUCAACCUGGGAAUUGCGCUUGUGACUGCAAAGCUGGAGUGCGGCAGAGGGGGAUGGAAUUCCGCGUGUAGCAGUGAAAUGCGUAGAUAUGCGGAGGAACACCGAUGGCGAAGGCAAUCCCCUGGGCCUGCACUGACGCUCAUGCACGAAAGCGUGGGGAGCAAACAGGAUUAGAUACCCUGGUAGUCCACGCCCUAAACGAUGUCAACUGGUUGUUGGGUCUCUGCUGACUCAGUAACGAAGCUAACGCGUGAAGUUGACCGCCUGGGGAGUACGGCCGCAAGGUUGAAACUUAAAGGAAUUGGCGGG